GUCUGCUUAACACAUGCAAGUCGAACGCAACCUUCGGGUUGAGUGGCGGACGGGUGAGUAACGCGUGAGAAUCUGCCUUGGGGUCGGGGACAACCACUGGAAACGGUGGCUAAUACCGGAUAAGCCUUUGGGUAAAAAAUUUAUUGCCCCAAGAGGAGCUCGCGUCUGAUUAGCUAGUUGGUGAGGUAAAAGCUCACCAAGGCAGCGAUCAGUAGCUGGUCUGAGAGGACGAUCAGCCACACUGGGACUGAGACACGGCCCAGACUCCUACGGGAGGCAGCAGUGGGGAAUUUUCCGCAAUGGGCGAAAGCCUGACGGAGCAAGACCGCGUGAGGGAGGAAGGCUCUUGGGUUGUAAACCUCUUUUCUCAGGGAAGAAGCUCUGACGGUACCUGAGGAAUCAGCCUCGGCUAACUCCGUGCCAGCAGCCGCGGUAAUACGGAGGAGGCAAGCGUUAUCCGGAAUUAUUGGGCGUAAAGCGUCCGCAGGUGGCGAUUCAAGUCUGCUGUCAAAGCACGGGGCUUAACUCCGUUAAGGCAGUGGAAACUGAAUAGCUAGAGUGCCGUAGGGGUAGAGGGAAUUCCCGGUGUAGCGGUGAAAUGCGUAGAGAUCGGGAAGAACAUCGGUGGCGAAAGCGCUCUACUGGACGGCAACUGACACUCAGGGACGAAAGCUAGGGGAGCGAAUGGGAUUAGAUACCCCAGUAGUCCUAGCUGUAAACGAUGGAUACUAGGUGUAGCUUGUAUCGACCCGAGCUGUGCCGAAGCUAACGCGUUAAGUAUCCCGCCUGGGGAGUACGCACGCAAGUGUGAAACUCAAAGGAAUUGACGGGGGCCCGCACAAGCGGUGGAGUAUGUGGUUUAAUUCGAUGCAACGCGAAGAACCUUACCAGGGCUUGACAUGUCCGGAAUCCCGGUGAAAGCUGGGAGUGCCUUCGGGAGCCGGAACACAGGUGGUGCAUGGCUGUCGUCAGCUCGUGUCGUGAGAU
rnacentral:rRNA from 1 species